rnacentral:rRNA from 1 species
CAGGGAUUGCCUUAGUAACGGCGAGUGAAGCGGCAAUAGCUCAAAUUUGAAAGCUGGCCCCUUCGGGGUCCGCGUUGUAAUUUGUAGAGGAUGAUUCGGCGAGGGCUCCCGUCUAAGUCCCUUGGAACAGGGCGUCAUAGAGGGUGAGAAUCCCGUAUGUGAUGGGCUGCCUUAGCCAUGUGAAUCUCCUUCGACGAGUCGAGUUGUUUGGGAAUGCAGCUCUAAAUGGGAGGUAAAUUUCUUCUAAAGCUAAAUACCGGCCAGAGACCGAUAGCGCACAAGUAGAGUGAUCGAAAGAUGAAAAGCACUUUGGAAAGAGAGUUAAAAAGUACGUGAAAUUGUUGAAAGGGAAGCGCUUGCAGCCAGACUUGUCCGCAGUUGCUCAGCUUGUCUCCUGACAGGCGUACUCUUCUGCGGCCAGGCCAGCAUCAGUUCGGGCGGUCGGAUAAAGGCCCGGGGAAUGUAGCUCCUCUCGGGGAGUGUUAUAGCCCCGGGUGCAAUGCGGCCAGCCUGGACUGAGGAUCUCGCUUCGGCUAGGAUGCUGGCGUAAUGGCUGUAAGCGGCCCGUCUUGAAACACGGACCAAGGAGUCUAACAUCUAUGCGAGUGUUUGGGUGUCAAACCCAUGCGCGUAAUGAAAGUGAACGGAGGUGGGAACCCUCACGGGUGCACCAUCGACCGAUCCUGAUGUCUUCGGAUGGAUUUGAGUAAGAGCAUAGCUGUUGGGACCCGAAAGAUGGUGAACUAUGCCUGAAUAGGGUGAAGCCAGAGGAAACUCUGGUGGAGGCUCGCAGCGGUUCUGACGUGCAAAUCGAUCGUCAAAUUUGGGUAUAGGGGCGAAAGACUAAUCGAACCAUCUAGUAGCU